rnacentral:rRNA from 1 species
AGUGAACGCUGGCGGUAGGCCUAACACAUGCAAGUCGAACGGCAGCACAGUAAGAGCUUGCUCGUACGGGUGGCGAGUGGCGGACGGGUGAGGACUACAUCGGAAUCUACUUUUUCGUGGGGGAUAACGUAGGGAAACUUUCGCUAAUACCGCAUACGACCUACGGGUGACAGCAGGGGAUCUUCGGACCUUGCGCGAUUGAAUGAGCCGAUGUCGGAUUAGCUAGGUGGCGGGGUAAAGGCCUACCAAGGCGACGAUGCGUAGUUGGUCUGAGAGGAUGAUCAGCCACACUAGAACGGAUGAGCGGCCGAGACUCCUACGGGAGGCAGCAGUGGGGAAGAUUAGAGAAUGGGGGCAAGCCUGAUCCAGCCAUACCGCGUGGGUGAAGAAGGCCUUCGGGUUGUAAAGCCCUUUUGUUGGGAAAGAAAAGCAGCUGGUUAAUACCCCGCUGGUCUGACGGUACCCAAAGAAUAAGCACCGGCUAACUUCGUG